AACCCAUGGUGAAGGCACCUUCUCAAUAAGUUCUCGUAUCUCUCCCAUGCAUCAUAAACAUUUUUUAAGUCUAUCUGCAUAAAAGAAGAGAUAUCAUUCCUUAACUU
rfam:Gossypium arboreum cultivar AKA8401 contig_8815_3, whole genome shotgun sequence.